GAACUCCCACUCUUCCACUUGCCUCUGAGUUUUACAAUUCAUUUUCAUACGCUUCAUUAGUCUCUAAUUGUUUUAGGCCCAUCAGCAAAAAUAUAUACAAACAAGCCUGCAACUUCUUCUUUUUCUUGGCAACUAUAAGCCGGAUCAUUUAUGGGAUUAGCAUAUUAAAGUCUGUGCUUUUGUAGAUAUAGGAACAUCUCAUGUUUCUUACAAAUUUAGGUACUUUUAUAUUAUAUGGAUGACUGUUUUAUCCUUCAAUCUAAUUGAGUUUCUUCUCCUUGUACCUUCAAUCUAAUUGAGGAGAAUUCAUCAAUAUCAAUCGAUCUCAGAAAUGUGCGAUUAUUUCUCUCUCUUUCUCUUUCUCUAAUGGCAUGGAAUCUAUUGCCUCUAAACUCACCAUUGAUGUCCAUUGCUUCUCCAUCACCUUACAAAAUUCAGAUCUAUGCUUGGCCAAUCUUCUUCCUCGACGAUGCAGGUGGUAAUCUUCCAU
rnacentral:sRNA from 1 species